rnacentral:rRNA from 1 species
CACGUAGGGGACGAGCGUUGUCCGGAUUCAUUGGGCGUAAAGCGCGCGUAGGCGGCUCGGAAAGUCGGUCGUGAAAUGCCGGGGCUCAACCCCGGGACUGCGUCCGAUACUUCCGGGCUGGAGGUAGGUAGGGGAGAUCGGAAUUCCUGGUGUAGCGGUGAAAUGCGCAGAUAUCAGGAAGAACACCGGUGGCGAAGGCGGCAUCCUGGACCGGUAUUGACGCUGAGGCGCGAAAGCCAGGGGAGCAAACGGGG